rnacentral:lncRNA from 1 species
AUCCUAGCACUCUGGGAGGCUGAUGCAGGAGGAUCACAAGUUGGAGCCCAGGUUGGCAACUCAGUGACUUAGUGAAACUGUCUCAAAUUUUAAAAAGACCAAAAAGGGAUGAGGAUGUAGCUCACUGCUCCAUGGCUUCAGUCCUCAGCACUGUGGGGGGUAGGGUGGGGUGAGAAAGAAAGAAAAGUAAAAUCUUGUUUUGUUUUCUUGUACUGAGGAUUAGGAAUUGAACCCAGGACCAUUGCACAAUUGCCCAGACCUGGCUUUGAUUUAUGAUCCUCCUGCCUCAGCCUCCCACGAUCCACACACACACCAUCACACAUGGUCUCUCUGGUUUUGUUGUUUUUAUUUUUAUAUUAAUUCUUUUUUGAGACAUGAUCUCAAUAUGUAGCUCAGGCAGGCCUUGAACUUACUACUCAUUAUGUAACCUAGACUGUCCUCUUGAACUCCUGGUGAUCCCCCUGCCUCAGACUCCUGGGUGCUGGGAUUACAAACCUGCACCACCAGGCCCGGCUAAAAUCUGUUCUUAGUUCACUUAAACUGAAAAACAAAAAACAAAAACAGGUGACAGGCCGAACUGGAGUUGCCUUAGAUGCUGCUUCAAGAAGAUGGGGUUUAAGGUCAGUUUUUUUUUUUUUUUUCCUCCAAAUUCCUAAAGCCAUGGGCUACUCAGGUAGUACCUCAUAGAAAAAGGUCAGCACCUGAGGAUUCUGACAGCUUUACCUCAGGUGGGCAGAGUAUCGUCUAGGGGGCUGGGAGCCCAAUGGCGGGCCCUGUGCCCCCGAGGGCGCUAGAUCCCUGACGGCUCAAGCUCCAUCUGGGGGUUACGGGCAUCUCCGCGGCGUUUGCCCCUCUUCGCUGGACACCUGGCUCUGCCUCACCGCCCCCAGGGGCGAAAAAGCGCGCGCAUGCGCCCAGCCCGCCCGACCUUGCACCCGCACCUGGCAGCCAAUCACAGGCCGUGCUGGGCGCGCGUGCGGAGGCCCCCGGGCUGCCGGCGGUUGUGGGAGUCUGAGGAGGUGGCGUGGCCCCAGGCUCUCCCCGCGGAGCGCCUUCCGGGCCAGUGCGUCCCCCGCGGUUCGCAGGAGCGGCGGCAGGGACAGUUACCUCAAGGAUGUGACCCCCUGCUGGGAAUAUUGCAAGAUCUUAAAAGUUUCAAUAUAAGGCAGAGGUAAGAGAGGUCCCUGUAAUAGGGAUCAAGUUUGUAUCUUUUCUUCUUCAGUUUUUUGUCUUGUCC